CCAACGUGGACAUCCAGCAGCCCCUGUUUGGCACUGUCCGUGUGGUGUAUGGGAGCGUAGACUUUGGUCUAUGACGUACAGUCCCGUUCCAUGUCGUUGGAGAGCAACCAUGUCCCUGGCUUUGAGCUGGUGAGGACUGCAUCCUGUAUAUUCCUAGACCUCCCCUGUCUGCUGUGACUGGGAAGAUAAACCAUACAGGGUACAUGC